AUGGAGCCCUUCCUCAGGAGGCGGCUGGCCUUCCUGUCCUUCUUCUGGGACAAGAUCUGGCCAACGGGCGACGAGCCGGACCACGGCACCCCCGGGUCCCUGGACCCCGACGCCGACCCAGUGCCCGCGCUCCCCACCGAGCCUUGCGGCCCCUUCCCUCAGCUCUUCCUUGCGCUCUAUGACUUCACGGCGCGGUGCAGCGGGGAGCUGAGUGUCCGCCGCGGGGAUAGGCUCUGCGCCCUCGAAGAGGGGGGCGGCUACAUCUUCGCGCACAGGCUUUCAGGCCAGCCCCGCACCGGGCUCGUGCCCAUCAUCCACGUGGCCAAGGCCGCUCCUGAGACGCUCUCAGACCAACCCUGGUACUUUAGCGGGGUCAGCCGGACCCAGGCACAGCAGCUGCUCCUCUCCCCACCCAACGAACCAGGGGCCUUCCUCAUCCGGCCCAGCGAGAGCAGCCUCGGGGGCUACUCACUGUCAGUCCGGGCCCAGGCCAAGGUCUGCCACUACCGGGUCUCCAUGGCAGCUGAUGGCAGCCUCUACCUGCAGAAGGGACGGCUCUUUCCCGGCCUGGAGGAGCUGCUCACCUACUACAAGGCCAACUGGAAGCUGAUCCAGAACCCCCUGCUGCAGCCCUGCGUGCCCCAGAAGGCCCCGCGGCAGGACGCGUGGGAGCGGCCACACUCCGAGUUCGCCCUUGGGAGGAAACUGGGUGAAGGCUACUUUGGGGAGGUGUGGGAAGGCCUGUGGCUGGGCUCCCUGCCCGUGGCGAUCAAGGUCAUCAAGUCAGCCGACAUGAAGCUCACUGACCUCGCCAAGGAGAUCCAGACGCUGAAGGGCCUGCGGCACGAGCGGCUCAUCCGGCUGCACGCAGUGUGCUCGGGCGGGGAGCCUGUGUACAUCGUCACGGAGCUCAUGCGCAAGGGGAACCUGCAGGCCUUCCUGGGCAGCCCCGAGGGCCGGGCCCUGCGUCUGCCGCCGCUCCUGGGCUUUGCCUGCCAGGUGGCUGAGGGCAUGAACUACCUGGAGGAGCAGCGCAUCGUGCACCGGGACUUGGCUGCCAGGAACGUGCUCGUGGACGAUGGCCUGGCCUGCAAGGUGGCUGACUUUGGCCUGGCCCGGCUGCUCAAGGACGACAUCUACUCCCCGAGCAGCAGCUCCAAGAUCCCGGUCAAGUGGACAGCGCCUGAGGCGGCCAAUUAUCGUGUCUUCUCCCAGAAGUCGGACGUCUGGUCCUUCGGCGUCCUGCUGUACGAGGUUUUCACCUAUGGCCAGUGUCCCUACGAAGGGAUGACCAACCACGAGACGCUGCAGCAGAUCAUGCGAGGGUACCGGCUGCCACGCCCGGCUGCCUGCCCAGCGGAGGUCUACGUGCUCAUGCUGGAGUGCUGGAGGAGCAGCCCUGAGGAACGGCCCUCCUUCGCCACGCUGCGGGAGAAGCUGCACGCCAUCCACAGAUGCCGUCCCCCAGUCCUCACGUGACCCAAGGCUCCGCGCUCCAGCCAGGCCAGCCCCUCCUCCCUGCAGAGCGUCAACUUGAAGGGAUGCCAGUUGGCCGGACCGAGGAGCCUCUGGCUGUGGGCCUCAGGCCCUGGCGUGCACACGUGUUUGUGCACCAGGCAGACGUGCAGACGGAGGGCUGGGGCUGACGUUCCCUGUGCAGUGUGACUUGUGCAGACGGUGGAGGGCUGACUGACGUUCCCUGUGCAGUGUGAUACGUGUCCCUGGCAUCUCAAGAGAGACAACAGCACAGAAGGGUGGGGAGAAGCCUCGGAGGCUCUGGGCGGGGAACCCUGAGCCCCGUGUGUCUCUGCCUGGGUCCCCUGGACUCCCUCCCAGGGUCAAGAGCCAAAGGCCUAGUUCUCUCCCUAGUCCCAGCUUGGGUUUGUGGAAGUGACCAGUGCUGGCUCCCAGGCAGACCGCGGUGUUGACCCCACUGGGUGUGUGGUAUGUAGGCACGGGGUGGCACCGUCACCUGCCCCUCACAGACACGCUGGUGGCCUGUGCACAAACCCACUCACGCUCACAGCACUCAGUAAGCCGGGACUGACCCACUCAGACACGCACACAGGCGCACAUCACACACAGGCGCACAUCACACAUAGGCUCAGCCCCCCAAACCCAGACCCAGGAGCUGGAGCGUGGGGGUCCACGUGGCUAGAAAAUGCAGGUUGGAGCGGCCCCCAUGCGGCCCAGACCCCCAGCCCAGGACAUCAUGGUGCCCAGACAGUGUGAGCCCCAAAGGCAUCGGCAGGAGCUGCCUGAGCUGCCAGUUCCAUCUCCCUGGGCCGGUUCCAGGCGGCACAGGAAGGGUGGGGAGGUUUGGUGACGUGGCAGCUGCCCUUGGAGGCUAUUUCCAGGGGCCUCAGGGUGGGCCGUGGGGGAUUUGGAGUCUUCUGCCUGUGCAGGGUCAGGCAGGGUCGGUUGGGGGCUCGGAGGUAGAUCCCAUGGUGUGCUGAGCAGCAACUGGCUCAGGAAGCCUCUGGGUGUGAGUCCUUGGGGGUCACCGAGGCAGGAGGGGGCAGGGACGUGCAGGGUCGGCCCUCGUCUCCCCACGUCUGGCUCAGGGAAGCUUCUGCUCAGGUCUUUGUGAAACACGUCAAGAAGCAAGGGGGCCGGCAGGGUCUGUUUGUGGCCCCCGGAGAUCCUGCCCCCCACCCUCCUGGGAGCCCAGGUUGGCAGCUGUGCCCAGAAGGCUUUUGGGGACAGAAAGUUUGGAGACAAGUUCAGGCCUGACUGAGUCCCUUGUCCCCUAGAGUUAGGGUCAGCUCUGCACCUGCUGAGCCAAAGUGCUGAUGGCCACCGUCCACAGUCCCCGGCCAAAGGCUGGCUCAGGAGGGAGCUAAGAGAUGAGACUCCUGUGUGCAAAGACAGGUGACCCCGGGGAGGGAAGGGGCCACUCGGAGGCUCAGAGAAUGGAGGCAGUGCAGGGGCUUCCUGGGGCCCGUGAGCAGGAGGAACAAAGCCAAGCAGAGGGAAGCAGCAGGAACCAGGACCCCUGCAGAUGGUGGAGGCAAGAGGCUUUAUCUGAGCUUUUGAGACCCUGGCCAGCUGCCCAGCUCCAUCUGCAUGGGAGAACCUAGGGGAGGGGCUGGCUCCGGUACCUGGGCCCACUGAGGCCUUGAGCUGAGCUUCCGGUUCUGGCACGUCCCCAGCACAGCAGCCUGGGGGCUCCUCUGGCACAGAAGGCCUCGCCCUCUGUGCUUUCUGCAGCAGCCACUGGGAUUAAGGGGACCAGGUGUGUGUGUGGCACCUGUGCCUUCCCAGGCAUCUCACCAGCCAACAGCUGAACAGGUUUGGUGCUCCUGGGUAUCCGGGAGGGGCCGGGGACGUUCCUGCCUCCUGGUGUGGCUUAGACUGAACGUCCUGCACGUCCGAACUCAGGGAUACUCGAGGCUUCCUGGACACAGACUCGCGGGCCCAGAGGCCCAAGGCUCGAGGACACCGGGGCAGUGUCAGAGCUGGUGGGCUCUGAGGGACGCUGCCUGGCCAGAUGACCCGGCGCCCUCCUUUCGCAUUCCCCACCCCCCACCCCUCCCCCUGCAUCCUCCCCGACCGACCCCAGACAGAGCUGGGAGGGCCUGAGGGACACUGCCCAGCCCGGCACCCCGCUGCCCCUCCCCACCUUGGUCAGCGCUGAGCUGGGCUGCUCAGAAAUCUAUGAACCUGUCAAAUAAUCCAGAUUAUUGUUCUUAAUCUCAAAACAAUGAGUGGAAGGUGCCAUUAUUUCUCUUUGCAAUAAAAAUAAAAGUUCAAAUACGC